rnacentral:pre_miRNA from 1 species
AAUAAAUCAAUUUUUCAUUUUUUACCUACAAUUUUUUACUUUUCGUCUUAUUUAAAUUUUUUUGAUUGAUAUUUUUGUUUUUAUUAGAUGACAAAUCAUAAAUAGUACUUUACGUGUGACUAAUUUUUUUUCUAAUUUUCUGAAAAUUUUUAAAAUAAGACGGAUGGUCAAACGUUAGACACGAAACCGGAG